UCAGACGUGGUGUAGCUGGAACACAACCUUGUCUUAUAGGCAAGAAUAAUCUUCGUAUGGAGGUGGUCUAGGGUUCAACUCCCUGUGUCUGAA